AUGUUCUCAGUAGCUCUGAUGCUGCUGCUGCUGGCUGCUGCAUCUUGUGUGUACAGCAUUGAUCUCAUCCAGCCAGACUCAGUGGUUGUUCAGCCUGGACAGUCUUUGACCAUCACCUGUCGUGUCUCUGGUUAUUCUUUGACUGAUAGCAACUAUGCAACAAGCUGGAUGCGACAGCGUGGAGGGAAACAAAUGGACUGGAUUCUCACCAUGUGGGCUGGUGGGAGUGCUGCAAAAAAUGAUGCUUUAAAGAACAAGUUCAGCAUCAGCAGAGACACUUCAGCUGGAACUGUGACAAUAACAGGACAGAAUCUGCAGCCCGAGGACACAGCUGUUUAUUACUGUGCACGUAAUGCACAGUGA